CAAGAAAUCGUCAAGCUACUGGAAAACCUAAUCAAGCCACCCAUCCUUUUAUCCCCUGCUCUCCCUCUAUUCCUUCAUCAAAUCUUCCCAAAUUUUCCUCUCCGCUUAUUCUGAACCUCUGUUUCCCAUAAGAAAUCCAAAUUCUCUCUCUACUACUAAACUCAUGGGGGCAUAGCUCUCAUGCCAUAAGCUCCUCAGGCCAAGCCAUAAAUUGAUCUAUAACAAUUGUCUGUCUUGUUGGUGAAGGGAACCAAAGUGCUUCCCAAGGCUCCAUGAACUUUUCGAAGCACUAUUGGGGUAUGAUUAUUGAACUCAGGCACAUGGGCAACUUCAUCCGUUUACUCUUUACAGCAGCCCAGGCCAUUUGCAGCUUCUGGAACGAAAAAGCCCAUACAAAACCAAAUGUUUCUUGUUACAAAUCAAGGCACUUGAUAAUAAUAACCCUCACUCUCCA
rnacentral:lncRNA from 1 species